ACAGAGGUCCCAAGCGUUGUUCGGAUUCACUGGGCGUAAAGGGUGCGCAGGUGGGCUGGUAAGUUCGAUGUGAAAGCCCCGGGCUUAACCCGGGAAUGGCAUUGGAUACUACUGGUCUGGAGGAUCGGAGGGGGGACUGGAAUUCUUGGUGUAGCAGUGAAAUGCGUAGAUAUCAAGAGGAACACCAGUGGCGAAGGCGAGUCCCUGGACGAUACCUGACACUGAGGCACGAAAGCCAAGGGAGCAAACAGGA
rnacentral:rRNA from 1 species